GCAGCAUGGGGGUUGCUUGCAUCCCCGAUGGCGACCGGCGCACGGGUGAGUAACGCGUAUCCAACCUGCCUUCACCACGGGAUAACCCGGCGAAAGUCGGACUAAUACCGUAUGUUGUCCAUUGACGGCAUCCGAUUUGGACGAAAGGCUUGGCGGUGAGGGAUGGGGAUGCGUCCGAUUAGCCAGACGGCGGGGUAACGGCCCACCGUGGCGACGAUCGGUAGGGGUUCUGAGAGGAAGGUCCCCCACACUGGAACUGAGACACGGUCCAGACUCCUACGGGAGGCAGCAGUGAGGAAUAUUGGUCAAUGGGCGUAAGCCUGAACCAGCCAAGUAGCGUGCAGGACGACGGCCCUAUGGGUUGUAAACUGCUUUUAUGCGGGGAUAAAGUGGCCCACGUGUGGGUUUUUGCAGGUACCGCAUGAAUAAGGACCGGCUAAUUCCGUGCCAGCAGCCGCGGUAAUACGGAAGGUCCGGGCGUUAUCCGGAUUUAUUGGGUUUAAAGGGAGCGUAGGCCGCGCCUUAAGCGUGUUGUGAAAUCCGGGUGCUCAACAUCCGGCUUGCAGCGCGAACUGGGGCGCUUGAGUGCGCAGAAAGUAGGCGGAAUUCGUGGUGUAGCGGUGAAAUGCUUAGAUAUCACGAGGAACUCCGAUUGCGAAGGCAGCCUACUGUAGCGCUACUGACGCUGAUGCUCGAAAGCGUGGGUAUCGAACAGGAUUAGAUACCCUGGUAGUCCACGCGGUAAACGAUGGAUGCUCGUUGUCGGCCCUUUGGGUCGGUGACCAAGCGAAAGCGUUAAGCAUCCCACCUGGGGAGUACGCCGGCAACGGUGAAACUCAAAGGAAUUGACGGC
rnacentral:rRNA from 1 species